UACGGAGGGUGCAAGCGUUAUUCGGAAUUACUGGGCGUAAAGGGCGCGUAGGCGGCUUAGUAAGUCAGUUGUGAAAGCCCGGGGCUUAACCCCGGAAGUGCAAUUGAAACUGCCAGGCUUGAGUAUGGUAGAGGGAAAUGGAAUUCCUGGUGUAGCGGUGAAAUGCGUAGAUAUCAGGAGGAACACCGGUGGCGAAGGCGAUUUCCUGGACCAAAACUGACGCUGAGGCGCGAAGGCGUGGGGAGCAAACAGG
rnacentral:rRNA from 1 species